AGAAAUGUAAAAAUAGAGCAACAACGUCCCCGGAAAUGCGUAAGUGAGGAAACGGAUAUACGCAACGUAGCGGAAGAAAAUGUAUACAAUGGCAAUUUGGAAAUCAAUUAAGUUAUGAAAAAAAGAGCAUUAAUUGCCUUUCUUUGUGGUCGAUGUGUUAUGGAAUGGCGGACUGUGAGCAGUAGCGCCCCGUCAGACGCCGCUGUUUUGCCUCGACGGGAACCGUUAUUUGACGUGUCAGGCAGAAAGAGCAGGUAUAUUUGUGACAUCUGCUGAGCUUGACAAUAUAGCUAGAGUUGAGUGCUUAGAUUUGUGUGCUACAUAUCGACUGAAUAAACACACAGGCUGGGCGGCCGUGCAGUUCAGUACGUGUACUAACGUUACACGAACACAGACAUGCAUUCUGUCGCACUACGAGAUUAAUAACGUUAUAUCUUUUAUUUAGUUUACUGUAAAUGACGCAAGUCUUAUUUAUCUUAUAUGCCACCGUAAGAUUAGCACGUUAGCUCCCAGAUGCGCCAUGUAUCUGUUAAACGGGUUGUGCUAACGUGUAUGUCAGUAAUGUGUGUUAUUUCAGUGCUUUUAAAGGAUACUUUGGAGAAUGAGUUGAUUGUUUUCGAGGGAAUCCAGAGGAGGUUGCAAAUAAAAAGGCUAACUGGAAGAUGCCAAGAAGAAAACAACAGAAUCCACAACCAGUCAAGUGUGUCAAACAAGCUGACUGGUAGAUUCUUCUGAUGAUUUUAUAUGCUGUGUAUCCAGUGUCCUUUAUUUAAAAAGUUGUAAUGUGACUAACAAAAGUAGGAGUUAUUUCUGUGUUUGUGAUUACGAAGAAAAGCUGAAUUUUGCUGGUAAUUCAUUUUAAUAUUCAGCAAUUUUAAGAUUUUCAGUUGAAUGUGGUAAAUAACUGUCAUGGUAACUGAAUGAAUAAUAUUUUACGUGCUGUAAACAUAGCCUGCUUCAAAAGUAUUGGUUGUGUCAUUGUUUCUGCUUUCUUUUUAAAAAGUUGUGAUUAUUUUCAGUCUCGUCCAGCAGAUGGCAGUAAAAUUACAGUAAAGCCAGAGCCUGUUACUGGCCAAGUCGAUGCUGCUAGAUUUGCUA
rnacentral:lncRNA from 1 species